rnacentral:rRNA from 1 species
UGGGGAAUAUUGCGCAAUGGGCGGAAGCCUGACGCAGCGACGCCGCGUGAGGGAAGAAGGUUUUCGGAUCGUAAACCUCUGUCAGAAGGGAAGAAUAGGGGACGUGCCAAUCAGCGUUUCCGUGACGGUACCUUCAAAGGAAGCACCGGCUAACUCCGUGCCAGCAGCCGCGGUAAUACGGAGGGUGCGAGCGUUAAUCGGAAUUACUGGGCGUAAAGCGCGUGUAGGCUGUACGGCAAGUUGGAGGUGAAAUCCCACGGCUCAACCGUGGAACUGCCUUCAAAACUACCGAACUAGAGUGCGAGAGAGGACGGCGGAAUUCCAGGUGUAGGAGUGAAAUCCGUAGAUAUCUGGAAGAACAUCAGUGGCGAAGGCGGCUGUCUGGCUCGUAACUGACGCU